rnacentral:misc_RNA from 1 species
AAGUCGUAACAAGGUUUCCGUAGGUGAACCUGCGGAAGGAUCAUUAGUGAUUUUUAAAAUUAUUUUAAGAUACUGCUAAGAUUUAAUUUUACAGUUCUUAAAAUAAUUAUACAAAAUAAAUCUAAACCACUGUUUAAAAAUGUUUUAUUAGAAUGUUUAAAUGUGUGUUAUUAAAAAACCACAGAAAGAUUUUAUAAAUUUAUAAUAAAACUUUCAGCAACGGAUCUCUUGGUUCAG